AGCUCUGUAAGCGUAUACCAAAGUUGUUGCAGUUAAAACGCUCGUAGUCGGAUUUUGGCGUGGUGCUACUGAGGUCCCUGAUUGGGCUCCGAGGUUAGUCCCGCCUUUGUGGAUGAGGGCGUGGUGGUGCUUAACUGUAUUGCCGCGUUUUCGCCACUGUUUACUGUGAAAAAAUUAGAGUGUUCAAAGCGAGCGAUUGCCAUGAAUACAUUAGCAUGGAAUAAUAGAAUAGGACCUGAUCCUGUUUUGUUGGUUUGUCGGUAUUAGGUAAUGAUUAAGAGGGACGGUCGGGGGCAUUUGUAUUCCAGGGUUAGAGGUGAAAUUCUUGGAUCCUUGGAAGACAAACAGCUGCGAAAGCGUCUGCCAAGGACGUUUUCAUUGAUCAAGAACGAAAGUACGC
rnacentral:rRNA from 1 species